rnacentral:rRNA from 1 species
UACGUAGGGCGCAAGCGUUAUCCGGAAUUAUUGGGCGUAAAGAGCUCGUAGGCGGUUUGUCACGUCGGAUGUGAAACCCUGAGGCUCAACCUCAGGCCUGCAUUCGAUACGGGCAGACUAGAAUUCGGCAGGGGGAGACUGGAAUUUCUGGUGUAGCGGUGAAAUGCGCAGAUAUCAGGAGGAACACCGGUGGCGAAGGCGGGUCUCUGGGCCGAAAUUGACGCUGAGGAGCGAAAGCGUGGGGAGCAAACAGG